UAAGGAAUAUUGCUCAAUGGGAGAAAACCUGAAGCAGCAACGCCGCGUGGAGGAUGAAGGGUCUAUGACUUGUAAACUCCUGUAAAGAAGGAAAAAAUUCCCAUUAGAUGGGAGAUGAUGGUACUUCUGGAGUAAGCCCCGGCUAACUACGUGCCAGCAGCCGCGGUAAUACGUAGGGGGCAAGCGUUGUCCGGAUUUACUGGGUGUAAAGGGUGCUCAGGCGGAUUUGUAAGUCAGAGGUGAAAUCUUACAGCUUAACUGUGAAACUGCCUUUGAUACUGCAAGCCUAGAGUAUGGAAGAGAGUGAUGGAAUAUCUGGUGUAGCAGUGAAAUGCGUAGAUAUCAGAUAGAACACCAAUGGCGAAGGCAGUCACUUGGUCCAUUACUGACGCUAAAGCACGAAAGCGUGGGUAGCAAACA
rnacentral:rRNA from 1 species